CCUACGGGAGGCUGCAGUGAGGAAUAUUGGUCAAUGGACGAGAGUCUGAACCAGCCAAGUCGCGUGAAGGAUGACUGCCCUAUGGGUUGUAAACUUCUUUUAUAUGGGAAUAAAACAGGGUAUGCAUAUCCACUUGUCUGUACCAUACGAAUUACGAUCGGCUAACUUCGUGCCUGCAGCCGCGGCAAUACGGAGGUUUCCAGCGUUUUCCGGAGUUAUUGGGGUUAAAGGGAGCGUAGGUGGAAUGUUAAGUCAGUUGUGAAAGUUUGCGGUUCAACCGUAGAAUUGCAGUUGAAACUGGCAUUCUUGAGUACCGGAGAGGUGAGCGGAAUUCGUGGUGUAGCGGUGAAAUGCGUAGAUAUAACGAAGAACUCCGGUGGCGAAGGCAGCUCACUGGACUGCAACUGACACUGAGGCACGAAAGUGUGGGUAGCAAACAGGAUUAGAUACCCCAGUAGUC
rnacentral:rRNA from 1 species